UCCACCUUAUUAGUUAGAAGUGAAUCACCAAGUCUAGCCCACAUCCAACAGAAGGAGGGCAUUUCACAGACGCUGAUUGCCAGGGAGGGCCUUCUUCCUGACUGUCUGCCACAGAUGAUUAGAAGGAAGGCUUUAAGGAGCAGAAGGAGCGUCAUACAGUUCUUCAGUCACCCUUGAAAGAAUUAAACUUCCUUUCCUCUACCUGAUGCUGCUGCUGAACUGAGGACCCCACUGGUUGGCCAGGCAUUCCACUCCGUUCCUCUCUCAAGAGGAUCAAAACUGAUAAGCAGUCCACAAUGCAGGAGAGAUCCUACUAGGCUAGUGUCCAGCUGCCUUCUUCUUCCUUUUCAUCAUGUACCUGGGUUGCUCUACCCCAUGUGGGUGGUAAGGAACCAUCCACACCACAUCCCAACCCAUGCUGAGGAUGGAGGAGAAAAAUGUGAGGAGUCCAAACCCCCAUGGCCUUUCUCAUCCAGAAAAAGGAGGUGCUGGCAUCUGCUGGUAAAGCUGGUGUGGAAUAGGAACGUGGCAGCCUCUUUCAGGAAAGAUGGUCUUAUCUUGGUGCUUCAGUCCCUGGUGGGAGAAAUUACACUCUGAAUUCAAUAGUAAAGAGCGGCCAAAGUUCUCCCACAGAGUUGAUGUAUGUCCACCUUGAGAAUCUUGUGAAUGGACUGACCAGACUCCUGUUUAACUGCUCUUGCACAGCUCAAAGCCAAGUAUGUAGCCCAACUGCAACCGAUGUGUGAGCCUAUGUGAGGUGUGUGAGCCUAUGUGAGGUGUGUGAGUCCCUGUGAGGUGUGAGAGUCCAUGUGAGGUGUGUGAGUCCCUGUGAGGUGUGUGAGCCUAUGUGAGAUGUGUGAGUCUAUGUGAGCUGUGUGAGUCCCUGUGAGGUGUGUGAGUCCCUGUGAGGUGUGUGAGUCCAUGUGAGGUGUGUGAGUCCCUGUGAGGUGUGUGAGCCUAUGUGAGCUGUGUGAGUCCGUGCGAGCUGUGUGAGCUGAUGUGAACUGUGUGAUUCCGUAUGAAGUGUUUCUAAGCCUAACUCCUAAUAUUUUGCCUCUUGCUUAAGAAAAACAAAUUCCACUACAGCCAUAUGUAUGCAUGGGAACAAAUCACUAAGGACAGGUGAAGGGCCUAGGGACAGGGGCCUCUUAGCCCUUGCUUUCUUCCUCCACCCUCACAGAGAUUCAGCCUCUUUUAUCUGUUUGUUUUGGGUUCUUGUAGCAGUUCCCUACAUAAAUCUAGAUAAGAGGCUUAACCUCCUUUCCCCAUCUUUCAAUCUCAGAUAACAUGUCUAGACACCUUAAUAUGGGAAAGGGAAGAUUUAGCACCCUUAUUCAAGCUUCUUCCUCCACCGAGUAUUUUAUAUUUAUUAUUUGUAGUUCUAUGAUUCCCACCUUUGAAACUUUAAAUAAUAUAUUAGCCUUCUCAUUAGCAGUUCCAACUCCCUGAUCUUUAAUCAUUUCCACAAUCAUAUGCUGUUGCUUUUUAAAAAAAUGAAAACAGUAGCACAAAUGCCAGAAAGUUGGCGAGGGUGGAUACAAAGCUAAGCAGUCCAAACAUAAGGGAUGGCUGGGUGGACUUCAGACAUCAUGGGAAAGCCUUCGGGUUUCUUACAUGUUUGUCUCGUUUAUAGUUAAACUCCACGUGUGAGCGAGCUAAGAAGGCCGUUUGCAGUGAGUCGCAGCAUCCAGCCAUACCCAGGCGAAUUCCCUUGCAGGACAUCUUGUGCUUGCUUGAAACCUUAAGUUUGAGUUUGUCUUACCUAAAAUUAGAAACAAGGAAGUCUCAAAGAGUGCUUAUAAAAACUGUGACAAAGAACAUCAGGAGCAGGGAGCAGGCGUGGACCCAUUCAGUAUCAGCCAUGCAUCACACUGAGCAGAUGUGGACUCUACAGGAUCCAGCACCAGCCACGCACCACCCUGAGCUAGGUCCCAGAGCUCAAGCCCAAGACUGAAAAACCAUACAGAAUUAACUCUGCACCCAGAGGUGCUGUGGGAUGUUCUGUAUGGCAAAUGUGUUGCUCUGAAUGGUCAAUAAAUAAAACACUGAUUGGCCAGUGGCUAGGCAGGAAGUAUAGGCGGGACAAGGAGGAGAAUAAAGCUGGGAAGUGGAAGGCUGAGUCAGAGACACUGCCAGCCGCCAUGAUGACAAACAGCAUGUGAAGAUGCCGGUAAGCCACGAGCCACGUGGCAAGGUAUAGAUUUAUAGAAAUGGAUUAAUUUAAGCUGUAAGAAUAGUUAGCAAGAAGCCUGGUACGGCCAUACAGUUUGUAACCAAUAUAAGUCUCUGUGUUUCCUUGGUUGGGUCUGAGCGGCUGUGGGACUGGCAGGUGAGAGAGAUUUGUCCUGACUGUGGGCCAGGCAGGAAAACCCUAGUUACACAGAGGCAAACGAAUAACUGGAGUAGUGACUGGGUGAUGGGGUCAGAUGGCAGGGUGCUUUUGAUUUUCUAGUUUUCAAGAAUGAAUGAACUUGGGCAGGUUGGUUGGCUCAGGGAGUAAGCAUGAGGGUCAGAGUUGGCAUCCACAGCAGCCACCAUCUCAAUACAGUGAAGCCCUGGUAUAAGCUGGCCAGACUAGCCAAACCUGCAAGCUCUGGGUUCAAGUGAGAGACCCUGCCUCAAUAUAUAAAUAAGGUGAACUCAAUCCAGGAAGAUACCAGAAGCCUAUUCUUGGUCUUCACUCACACACCACUCACACACUCAUACACUCACACAUACCACUCACACACCACUCACACACUCAUAUACUCAUACACUCACACACACACACACCACACUCACACACUCAUACACUCACAUACCACUCACACACACACACACCACACUCACACACUCAUACACACACACACACACUCAUACACUCACACACACACCCCACUCACACACUCAUACACACACACCCCACUCACACACUCAUAUACUCUCACACACACACCACUCACACACUCAUACACUCACACACACGCACCACUCACACUCAUACACUCACACACCACACACACACACACAUACCACUCACACAGCACACACACACACUACACUCACACACUCAUACACUCACACACACAUAUACACACUCAUACACACCGCUCACACAUUCAUACACUCACACACACAUGCACACUUAAAGAAAAAGAGAAAAACAUAGGAUGAACCUAUAGUUUGCAUUUAUGACCUAGUGUCUCUCAACGUUGCUGCUCCUCAGGGCUACGUUUGUGGUUGGUAGUUGGUUCUGGUAUUGUUUCUCUCUCUCUCUCUCUCUCUCUCUCUCUCUCUCUCUCUCUCUCUCUCUCUCUCUCUCUCUCUCUCUCUCUCUCUCUCUCUCUCCCUCCCCCUCUGACUUUAGUUCCUUUAGAUGCCCUGGAGUAUCCUAUCCUGCCAAGAACUUGGUGCUUAGCAGAAGCUCUUGUUCUUGCCUGCAUAAUAAUCUCAUCCCACGGUGUUCUCAAAAGCACCCUUGUGCUGAGCCUCCACCCCAUGAUUUCCAAUCGUUGUGGCAGCUGCUUGUGCACGGCACCCCAAGCGACAAAAAUGCAGGUAGGAUUUGGUCCAAGUAUUCCCACCUCCCUUAGCCCAGUUUCAUCCCCAUUACUAAAGGGGAACCAGCCGGGCGGUGGUGGCGCACGCCUUUAAUCCCAGCGCUCGGGAGGCAGAGAGCAAAGCUACGCAGAGAAACCCUGUCUCGAAAAACCAAAAUAAAUAAAUAAAUAAAUAAAUAAAUAAAUAAAUAAAUAAAUAAAUAAAGGGGGAACCAAAGCAAUAAGUUGUUGUUAUUAAUGCUAUUAUUGUAUUAAUGACCUUUAAAAAACCCACCUUUUCUUUAUCACCAAAGGCAGUAGGAACCACAAAUCUCAACCUCUUUUGACCCUGACAGUUCCUCUCCUGUUCCCCACACUUCCUUUAAGAACCCUCUUUCACCAUCAACCAUGCCCACGGGCGGGCAUCCCAGGGCAGCUGUGAAUGCCUGUGGCCCAGCAAAAAGUCGUAAACUGGUUUAAAGGACCGCUUUUGUUUUUCCUAACUCCUUCCUGAGGUUCUGCAGUGUGAGGCCUGCUAACCUUUAGCAGAGUCCCUGUGCCACAGUCAGAAGGUUGGGGGAGCCUGGAAGGCCUGCACUCCCGCCCGGGUUAAUCAGCCAUCCCCAGGGCCCUCUUGGAGCCAAAAGGAAAGUUCCGCGCGUCUUUAAAGCGCUCCUGGAAGUCCAGGGUAACAUUUCCUCUCAAAAGCUCUUCUCCACGGGUCCUCUGAGGGCUACACUUGAGUGAAACCCCCAAAGGAAAUUACCACUUAAAUUAGGCAGGAUGUGCAGGCUGCUGGCCUGGCCUGCUCCUCCAGGCACGCUGCGGGAGCCUGGGGCUGGCUGAGCAGAGAGCCUCCGGGCUGUGCUGGACGUGGGCUGCCAGAGCCCCAGCUGGGGAAGAGCUGAGCUGGGGAAAACGUGGGCUGAGAUGGAACUCUCUGCUCUUUCCUACCAAGACCUUCACUGAGCAGAAGGGAGUGAUACUAGGGUGGGGUGUUAAGGCCCAGACAUGACACUUUAUACCUACCCUUACAACCCUGGGAGGUGCCCCAGCCUCGCUGGCAGCCAGGCGGAGGGCUUUCUAAAAGCAAGACACUGCCCUGUCUUCUUUUCCUUUAAACGUCUGUUUGGUUGGAUUUUUUUUUCUAAUGUGAGUAUAAUUUAAGUAUCAUAAAAUUCAUCUCUUUAAAGUGUACAACUCAGCAGCUCUUAGUACAGCCAUAGGCUCAAGUGGCCAUCACAACCAAGUCUAGAACAUUCUCAGCACCACCAGCCUACUACCCAGGCUGCGCCCCCCCAACCACCACUUUUUGCUCCCUCUUGCUUUCUGCUUAGCAGCAGAAGGCCCCUAUUCCUCCCUGCCCCCAAACUCCCGGCUACUCUUCUACUGUCUGCCUCCAUGGGUCUGCCUGUUGGGAACCUUUAGCUUUUUGUGCCCAGGUCUUUUGUGCAGCAUCAUAUCCCCAAGGUUCAUCCAGCUUGUAGCAGGAGGUCCUCGGUUCCUUUUCGUUUGGAGAUAUUGCACUGUACUGAAAAAUGCUGCUGUAAAGAUUGACAUAUACCUUAAGCUGCUAUGUGUUUCUUUGAGCAUAUAACUAGGAGUGCCGUUGCCUGGUCCUGUGACAACAUGCUGUGGAGUCUUCAGAGAGGAUCUGGUUUUGCCAACCGCAGAAACCAGUCCAACCCCUGGUACUUGCACCAACAACUAGAUGAUUAAAUCAGAUGAAUGGGUGGAUGGAUGGGUGGAUGGGUAGAUGGAUGGGUGGGUGGAAGGGUGUGCUUAUGACCUUUUGCAUGUGGAAGUACUAUAUUUCCAUUAUAAAUGGGAUAUACUAUUAUUUUUAAGUAAUUGUAAUUUUCUAAUCUGAGGUCUGUGGAAAGGUUAUUAGAUGGCUGUAAUUUCAAAAAUUGUAUAUAGAGAGAGUAGUUUCAAAUAGCCAAACAAAUCUUCAUCAAAAGGAACAAAACAAGAGAUACUAAACUAUCUGGCUUCAAAAGGCAGCACAGGGCUGAAGAGAUGGCUCAGCGGGAAGGCACAUGCUGCCAAGUCUAAGAGCCUGAGUCCAAUCCCUGAACCAUGACUUAAGGAUGGGACCCGCUCCUACACAUUGUCCUCUGACCUCCACAUGCGUCCCGGCACCCAUGUGCUUCCCCACAAAACAAAUUAAAAUGUAAUAAACAGUGGUGUGUGUGUGUAAGCAUAUCUCUGUGUAUAUAUAUUACAAAGGUAUGGUGAUACAAGCCAUACAGCAGA